UGAGGGUUGGUGAAGACUAGGGCUGGGGUGGUGGUGGGGUCUGGUAAGACUAGGGGUGGGGGUGGUGGUGGGGGAAGACAAGGGCUGGGGGUGGUGGUGAGGGUUGGUGAAGACUAAGUCUGGGAAUAGGGGUUGGGGGGUGUCUGGAAGACUAGGAUGGAAAGAGACACAAUAUGUACAUGCUUUCUGUCAACUGUAGAUACAGUACAUGCUUUUUGUCAGAGUGGUAGACAUGAAAGAGACACAAUAUGUACAUGCUUUCUGUCAACUGUAGAUACAGUACAUGCUUUUUGUCAGAGUGGUAGACAUGAAAGUUGCUAUGCUGUUUUCGCCAUAGAGUCAGUUAGAGGACUCAUCUUUGUAUCUCUCACGUGCAAAUGUUCAUCACGCUUCAUUUGAAGUGCAUCAAUUAUGAAGGUGUCAUAAAGCCUUCUUAUGGACUUCACAACCAAUACAUAGAUGAUUCACGAACCAUCGAUAAUCGUAUUUAUGCUCUAUAAAGAUUCAUAAUGUGCCAUAACUGAAUGACAUAAACAUCCGUUUAUUUGUUCACAUUCAUUGAUACCUCAUAGAGCAUGAAAUAUAGUUAUAAAUGAUUUGUGACCCAUUAAUGUAGUGCUUAUGAAGACUAUACGAAUACUUAAUGCAGCCUUCAUAAGAUGCACUUACUAAUUGAGUACCGAUCACAUUUUANNNNNNNNNNGUGCUGGACCGUGCGCUGAUCGAGGAUUUCCUCCGUUGCCGCCAGGUUUCCUCCUCGAGUGCGCCAGGAGGCGCUCGGUGAGUGGGGGGGUACUGUCAUGUAUUGUCAUGUUGUGUCUUGUUUCUGUCCUUUCCUUUCACCCUGUCUCCCUCUGCUGGUCGUACUAGGUUACCGUUUCUGUCCCUCUUUCCCCCAGCUGUUCCUUGUCUUCUCUGACUACCUCAUUCACCCCUUUUCCCACCUGUUCCCUUUUUCCCUCUGAUUAGGUCCCUAUAUCUCUCUCUGUUUCUGCUCCUGUCUUUGUCGGAUUCUUGUUUGUGUGUCUCAUGCCUGAACCAGACUAUCAUCGUGUUUGCUGCAACCUUGUCCUGUCCUGUCGGAAUCUACCUGUCCAUCUGAGCCCACGUGUGUUCAUCAUUAAAGAAACUCUGUUUGUUAAUUCGCUUUUGGGUCCUCAUUCACGCACCUGACAGUCAAUCUGCUUCAUCAAUACCACUUCAUUAUCAUAUAGGUCAUUCUCCUUCAUCAAUACCACCUCAUGGUCCAUCAUUAUAGAUAUAGAAGGUCAAUAUUAUCCAUCAAUACCACCUCAUGGUACAUCAUUAUGGGUAUAGAAGGUCAAUAUUCUCCAUCAAUACCACCUCAUGGUACAUCAUUAUGAAUAUCGAAGGUCAAUCUCCUUCAUCAAUACCACAUCAUUAUCAUAUAGGUCAUUCUCCUUCAUCAAUACCACCUCAUGGUACAUCAUUAUGGGUAUAGAAGGUCAAUAUUCUCCAUCAAUACCACCUCAUGGUACAUCAUUAUGGAUAUAGAAGGUCAAUCUGCUUCAUCAAUACCACUCCAUUAUCGUAUAUAAGGUCAAUGUCCAUCAAUUCCACCUCAUGGUACAUCAUUAUGGGUAUAUAAGGUAAAUCUCCAUCAAUACCACGUCAUUAUCAUAUAGGUAAUUCUCCAUCAUCAAUACCACCUCAUGGUACAUCAUUAUGGAUAUGGAAGGUCAAUCUCCAUCAAUACCACCUCAUGGUAAAGCAUUAUGGAUAUAGAAGGUCAAUCUCCAUCAAUACCACCUCAUUAUAGGUAUUGAAGGUCAAUGUCCUUCCAAUUGGAUGCCUUUAAGCACACAGUCAGGAAGGACAUAGGCACGGAACAUCAACACACAUACACACACACUCCUGCCUCGCCUACCUGGACGAUGCCAUAAGGCUAGCGAGGAGGAAGUUGAAGCGAAAGACUAGCUCUAAUCAAUCACCAUCCGCACAGCUGGACCUGGCAUGCACUGAGAUGACUGUGUUGUGGAAAUUGAAUCUGGUUCGUAUCGNNNNNNNNNNUCAUUAUCAUAUAGGUAAUUCUCCAUCAUCAAUACCACCUCAUGGUACAUCAUUAUGGAUAUGGAAGGUCAAUCUCCAUCAAUACCACCUCAUGGUAAAGCAUUAUGGAUAUAGAAGGUCAAUCUCCAUCAAUACCACCUCAUUAUAGGUAUUGAAGGUCAAUGUCCUUCCAAUUGGAUGCCUUUAAGCACACAGUCAGGAAGGACAUAGGCACGGAACAUCAACACACAUACACACACACUCCUGCCUCGCCUACCUGGACGAUGCCAUAAGGCUAGCGAGGAGGAAGUUGAAGCGAAAGACUAGCUCUAAUCAAUCACCAUCCGCACAGCUGGACCUGGCAUGCACUGAGAUGACUGUGUUGUGGAAAUUGAAUCUGGUUCGUAUCG
rnacentral:lncRNA from 13 species